rnacentral:rRNA from 1 species
ACGUAGGGUGCAAGCGUUAAUCGGAAUUACUGGGCGUAAAGCGUGCGCAGGCGGUGAUGUAAGACAGGUGUGAAAUCCCCGGGCUUAACCUGGGAACUGCACUUGUGACUGCAUCGCUGGAGUGCGGCAGAGGGGGAUGGAAUUCCGCGUGUAGCAGUGAAAUGCGUAGAUAUGCGGAGGAACACCGAUGGCGAAGGCAAUCCCCUGGGCCUGCACUGACGCUCAUGCACGAAAGCGUGGGGAGCAAACAGGAUUAGAUACCCUGGUAGUCCACGCCCUAAACGAUGUCAACUGGUUGUUGGGUCUUCACUGACUCAGUAACGAAGCUAACGCGUGAAGUUGACCGCCUGGGGAGUACGGCCGCAAGGUUG